rnacentral:rRNA from 1 species
UACGGGGGGGCAAGCGUUGUUCGGAAUUACUGGGCGUAAAGGGCUCGUAGGUGGCCAACUAAGUCAGACGUGAAAUCCCUCGGCUUAACCGGGGAACUGCAUCUGAUACUGGAUGGCUUGAGAUUGGGAGAGGGAUGCGGAAUUCCAGGUGUAGCGGUGAAAUGCGUAGAUAUCAGGAGGAACACCGGUGGCGAAGGCGGCUUCUGGACAGUUACCGACGCUGAGGCACGAAAGCUAGGGGAGCAAACAGG